rnacentral:rRNA from 1 species
GGAUAACAUGCCCUAAGGUGGGGGAUAAUCUCGGGAAACUGAGGGUAAUACCCCAUAGGUCUGAUGUGCUGGAAUGCUUUCAGGCCGAAAACUCCGGUGCCUUAGGAUUGGUCUGCGGUCUAUCAGGCAGUAGUGGGUGUAAUGGACCCACUAGCCCGUGACGGAUAUGGGCCUUGAGAGAGGGAGCCCAGAGAUGGACUCUGAGACAUGAGUCCAGGCCCUACGGGGCGCAGCAGUCGCGAAAACUUCGCAAUGGGGGCAACCCCGACGAGGGAAUUCCAAGUGCCAGCACUUUGUGUUGGCUGUUCUUCUGUCUAAAAAACAGGAGGAGUAAGGGGCGGGUAAGACGGGUGCCAGCCGCCGCGGUAAUACCCGCGCCCCAAGUGGUGGUCGAUAUUAUUGAGCCUAAAACGUCCGUAGCCGGUCUUCUAAAUCCUUGGGUAAAUCGGGCAGCUUAACUGUCCGAAUUCCGGGGAGACUGGGAGACUUGGGACCGGGAGAGGUCAGAGGUACCUCUGGGGUAGGGGUAAAAUCCUGUAAUCCUGGAAGGACCACCGGUGGCGAAGGCGUCUGACUAGAACGGAUCCGACGGUGAGGGACGAAGCCCUGGGGCGCAAACGGGAUUAGAUACCCCGGUAGUCCAGGGUGUAAACGCUGCGGGCUUGGUGUUGGGGGUCCUUAGUGGGCGCCCAGUGCCGGAGAGAAGUUGUUAAGCCUGCUGCUUGGGGAGUAUGUCCGCAAGGAUGAAACUUAA